GGCAUAAAUAAACUAUGUUACGGCCAUAGUAUUGGUGUAUUAACACUAUAUGCUU
rnacentral:tRNA from 2 species